CUAAGUUCAGCGGGUAUUCCUACCUGAUCCGAGGUCAACCUUGGUUAAAGAUGGGGUCUUUAACGGCAGGAGCAAGCCACACUUCCCUAGCGAGAUAAUGAAUUACUACGCUCGGAGUUGUAGCGAGCCCGCCACUUUCUUUCAGGGCCUACGUCAGACGUAGAGCCCCAACACCAAGCAGAGCUUGAGGGUUGAAAUGA
rnacentral:misc_RNA from 1 species